UACAGAGGGUGCAAGCGUUGUUCGGAAUUACUGGGCGUAAAGGGCUCGUAGGUGGCCAACUAAGUCAGACGUGAAAUCCCUCAGCUUAACUGGGGAACUGCGUCUGAUACUGGAUGGCUUGAGUUUGGGAGAGGGAUGCGGAAUUCCAGGUGUAGCGGUGAAAUGCGUAGAUAUCUGGAGGAACACCGGUGGCGAAGGCGGCGAUCUGGGUAGAUACUGACGCUGAGGUGCGAAAGCGUGGGGAGCAAACAGG
rnacentral:rRNA from 1 species